CUGAAAAGCAAAGACUAUACAACAAAAAGUGAGGGGAAAACAAGAAGGAAAAAACAAAAAUGAGAAGAAGUAGGGAUUCUCACAUCUAAGAAUAGAUAUGAGAACCAACAAUGAAGCCCCCAAGAAGUCAAUGCAAUAGUGAGCAAAACAAGGAACAUCAAAAAAAAGUAAUCAUGCUUUUUGCUUAUGUCAUCAGAUAUAUGGGAGACUGUGAGAAGCAUGGCAAAUUUUAAUCAUGGCCCACCUUUCAGUAAGUCCAGUUGAAACUGAAAUGAGCUCCCUUGAAACUUCGGAAUCCUUCUCAACACGGUGUUCCAGGAGACCACACGCAAUCGGUGGAAAUUGCCCAAUGCAGUAUACUGAGUUAUUGGCACCUGUUGCUUACGCCUCCCUGACUACAUCUUUUGCCAGGUUGUCCCGAAGUCCGGUCGAUGGCAUGCCAAGACACCAAGGAACACAUGUGGGAACUCUUCCAGAAACAACGGUCUCUGGAAUGGCACCUCAGCGCAUUGGUUGAGAAUUUGGACUUUGGAGGCCCUACACUCAGACCUAAGUUCAUUUUGAACACUUCCAUUUAUCAUUGGUAUUAUCUCUAACCUCUUCAAUCCUGCUUCCUUAUAUGCAAAAUCAAGAUAAUUAUACCUAACUUAAAGAGCCCUCCUGAGGAGAAAAUGAGAGUAAGGAAAUUAGUGAGGUGGCUUGGCAUGUCGUAAGCAUACAACAAAUGUUAGCUCUUUCUCCUCCUCCUAAUAAGCCACAUGUCUUACU